rnacentral:rRNA from 1 species
CACGUAGGGCGCAAGCGUUGUCCGGAAUGACUGGGCGUAGGGCGCGUAGGCGGUUUGUUUAGUUAGGCGUGAAAUUCCUGGGCUCAACCUGGGGGCUGCGCUUAAUACAGGCAGACUAGAGUGUGAAAGAGGGUCGUGGAAUUUCCAGUGUAGAGGUGAAAUUCGUAGAUAUCGGGAGGAACACCGGUGGCGAAGGCGGCGACCUGGUUCGAUACUGACACUGAGGUGCGAAAGCGUGGGGAGCAAACAGG